UACGAGGGGUGCAAGCGUUGCUCGGAAUUAUUGGGCGUAAAGGGUAGGUGGGUGGUCUCAUUUGUCUGGGGUGAAAGCCUUGAGCUUAACUCAAGAAGUGCCCUAGAAACGGUGAGACUGGAGUACUGGAGAGGGUCGUGGAAUUCCUGGUGUAGCGGUGAAAUGCGCAGAUAUCAGGAGGAACACCAAUGGCGAAGGCAGCUCGCUGGGACGGUACUGACACUGAGACGCGAAAGCGUGGGGAGCAAACAGG
rnacentral:rRNA from 1 species